AUUGAACGCUGGCGGCAGGCUUAACACAUGCAAGUCGAGCGGGGGAAGGUAGCUUGCUACCGGACCUAGCGGCGGACGGGUGAGUAAUGCUUAGGAAUCUGCCUAUUAGUGGGGGACAACGUCUCGAAAGGGAUGCUAAUACCGCAUACGUCCUACGGGAGAAAGCAGGGGAUCUUCGGACCUUGCGCUAAUAGAUGAGCCUAAGUCGGAUUAGCUAGUUGGUGGGGUAAAGGCCUACCAAGGCGACGAUCUGUAGCGGGUCUGAGAGGAUGAUCCGCCACACGGGGACUGAGACACGGCCCAGAGUCCUACGGGAGGCAUCAGUGGGGAAUAUUGGACAAUGGGGGGUACCCUGAUCCAGCCAUGCCGCGUGUGUGAAGAAGGCCUUAGGGUUGUAAAGCACUUUAAGCGAGGAGGAGGCUACUUUAGUUAAUACCUAGAGAAAGUGGACGUUACUCGCAGAAUAAGCACCGGCUAACUCUGUGCCAGCCGCCGCCGUAA
rnacentral:rRNA from 1 species